rnacentral:lncRNA from 1 species
CCCUCGCUGCCUGCCAUUGUUCCUCAAGCCAGCAAGCAAGAAGCACACAGGAAGCUCCUAGCCAACACCAAUCAAGGCCUCCAUCCAAUCCCAAGCAACCUCGAAUAUGUCUUGCUGCGGAGGAAACUGCGGAUGCGGCACCGCCUGCAAGUGCGGCAACGGCUGCGGUGGCUGCAACAUGUACCCCGAGGUUGAGGCCGCCGGCGCCACCCUCCUCGUCUCCGCCACUGCCACUCACAAGGGGUACGUCCCUUCUCUUGACAAAAUUUUCUCCACAGCUCAUACAUCAUCAUGCACUCGAUCUUUUUUUUUUGCGGGGUACGUGCAGGAGCUCCGGCGGCAUGGAGAUGGCGGCCGAGAACGGCGGCUGCGGCUGCACCCAGUGCAAGUGCGGCACCAGCUGCGGCUGCUCCUGCUGCAGCUGCUAGAUCAUUGAUCAUGCAUGCGCCGCGUGCAUCAUAUCUAUGAUCUACGUAUCCAUCUACUACCAUGUAAUGCCACCUGAUCGAGGGUCUUUGUAUGUAUGUAGUAUGUACGCACCUGCCUGCAUGAGCAGAGCGGGUGCCAUUCCAUGCAUGUAAACCCCUAAAUAAAAUCUCCCGUGGUUUUGCUUACAUCGUGUUGUUAGAUCCUCCUCCUAUUAGUGUUGCUUUCGGGUUCUUCUUAUGCACUAGCAGGAUCAGAGGCCGGUCUUUUGUUCUUGGUCUUCUCCUCAAACUGUCGUUUUCCUCUUCUCUAUGGUUCCAUGUGCGGCAGUAUUUUCUUCUUCUGUUGCCGAGUGUUGUAUCAGACUGUACCUUGUUUUGUGGUUUAUUCCUAUCCAUCUCGAAAUAUAGUGCAGGAAUUUAUUUGCAAAAGGUGGAUCUCAACAAGACACGACGGUAUGUGUAUCUUGCAGGAUUUAUUGAUCGGUCUAUCUUAUGCAUCUUAUUAAAAAAAUACAUUAAGGUCUCAUGGUCAAGCCAAAUUAUCAUUGUUUUUCCUUGCAUGCAAAAUGCAGCAAUAAAUCUUCGUCCUUGGCUUGUUUCUCAUUUCACUGCCUACGUUGCAGGUAUCCGACCCUGUUGGAAUCUCCUUUUCUGUCAUUGUGUUCACUUUCUGUGAUGUGAUGUGUGCGCAAAUAUUCCCACAACAACAACAUAAUAAUAAAGCCAUAUACGCAAGCAACCGAAUAAUGGCAAUGAUAUAUUACUGCUCAAGGCGCAUCUCCAAAUCAACCUGUCAUGUCCAUGGCUGCGUCUAAGCACUCGGGGCAGAAAUACUCACUCUCCGCCACUGAUUCAUAUCACCGAAUCCACACGGCCAAAUUACGUCCUCCAUGUUUUAAGCGAUGCCACUAUAUCUCGUGGGAAAAUUGUUUCCACAGUUCGAUAUCCCUCCCUUUGAUGAAAAAAUUCACGCUUGGCUUCUGCAUCACAGAGUGCAGAUAACGAAUAUUGUUUUCUAUGUUCUGAACUGGAACACUAUAUCUUGUGUAAAAAAUUGUGUCAACAAUAUCGAUAUUCCCUCCUAUAAAAUAAAAUCAUCAAUAGCUCACUUCUCUAUAUAACUGGAUGCAAAGUAAUGGGCGGUGUGGAGCACCCAAGACAGCACGCAAAAUAUCGGUGUUAUUUUAACUCCACUACGUAGACAAGUCACUAUAUUUACACAAUUAUGUAAGAAAAAGAGCUCUUUUAUGGUACCCUGUAUUGAAUAUUGACCGUCCAUCUGCAAAGAUCCAAUGGUGGGUACUUAUCUGUACUGGUGAAACUGGAUUAGCAGCAUCGCUAGUACCGCACGUCUCACGUCCACCGGUAUACUGCUCGGAGGGCAUUAUCGGUGACUCUGCAUCACCGGCAGCCGCCCGCCGGGGCUCGCCUCCUCUUCGCCCCCAUGCCCGCUGGGGCGCCUCCUCCCUGCCUUUAAUCCGCUGUGCUAUGCAUGCUUCUAUGGUUUUGGACUUCUGGCAUGGCACCGUGCGCCCCAUCCCCCUUCCACGCUACGGCCGCGAUGUUCUUUGCCGCCCCGCAUGGCUGAGCAGUGAGCACCUUAGCAUCGCGUUUAUUGUGUUGCCUCGUUCAUGACGACAGUGCAUGCCAAACCACCCUGCGUUGACGAUGAGGCCAGGAUGUGUACAACGUCGUGGUCUUCACGGAGAGCUGCGGCUACGAGAGUGCCGGAGCCUGGCGGAACCUCGCCUAUUUUGUGCUAACCAUGCCCUCGCUACGCUCAUGGCCGUCCUCCUUUAUUUUACUACCGCUUGCCUUCAUGAUCGAGCUCUUCAUGGCCUGGAUCACGCUUUACUUUAGCCUCAGCUUGCCGGACGUGGAGCAGCUACUCAUCUGCCUUUGCUGUGAGGUCGACGACCACGUCAUUGUUCAAAAGCUCACCCAGGCAGGGCUCAACAUACCUGUUUCCUCGUCGUCACCCCGCUGUCACAGACUCACAGGAGUGCACGAUGCAUUCCGAAAUAUUGAUUCGCCAGAGCAAUUCCCUUCACGAACACAAGAAGAGCUUUCACCGUCACAUAUACUGCUCCCUCCCCAGUAGCAGUAUAGGGUACCAUAAAAACCCUCAAGAAAAAUAAAUAACUCAGAGAACUGUCUGGCCAUAGAUGGAGCUUUCUACAGAUGGGGACAAGAAUUUGGCACCACCCACUCAAUUUCCCUCUCACCUUUUUGCAUUGCUUUCAUAUGUAAAAAAACAAAAACAAAAUAGUGAGUUGACUUGCGAUCUGCCUUAAAAUGACAAGAUGACGGUUGGGGGUUAAAAAAACAUUCAAAUGCAUUUUAUAUAUUCAUAUGUUUACUUAUUUUGUAUUUGUUUGUGCAUGUCAUAAAAAUCAUCAAUUUCCACAAGCAUACAUAAUACUCAAUGAUCUACAUUGACAAUAGGCUUUGAGAUUUUUCAACGCAUGACAAGAAAAAUCAAAUGAGGUCAGCUGGAAAUUAAAGAUCAGUUUUGACUUCCAAAAAAUUAUGAUCUCUUUUGUCCAAACUUAAAAGGAAUCAUUACAGAAAAUUUGGAGAUUCCAAUUGUUAGAAUAUUUUCCUACAGGACUAGUAGGGCUGGGAACCAUAAUGAUAUUUUCUAUGGCCUAAUUGACAUGUUUAUGUUGAGCCAAAUCUUUUGGAAAUAGUUUCGUUGAUUCAGUGACAACUAUGUGCUUGCACCUAACGCUUGAGAAAAUUCUUGUAUUUUUUCCCUCUUGCAAUAAAUCAACAUCCAUAUUUUACGCAUUUACUCCAUCUUCAAUUCCCACAGAAUUCAACACAGCAUGACCUGAAAUCUGUGUGUUAAGUUUUCCGGUUCCUGUCUUUUUAAAAUGCUGCAAAAGUAUGUGGCAUGUAAUCUUUAAAAAUAGUGGGAGUGUGAUAGUUAUUGAAAUGCAUGUAGGAUGGAAACUAAAAUUUCAGUAAAAUUCAGCUUAUAACACUAAAAUUGAAAAGGUUGCCAAGCCUAUGGCAACCAAGAGCCGCCAAGAUUUCUUAAAUAACAAAUAUUUUCGGCGACCUCCCCCAAAGAAGACAUAGCUUUUUCCUUGUCUUGACAUUCAAAAGCACUGAGUGAGGGGUAUCGGCUGAAUAUAUUCACUAAGGGCAUGCACAAAAGAGAGUUGACUAUUAUUAUUUUGCAAUGCUUUCAGAAUUUAGUUUGAUAUUGGUUUAAUUCAUAGUUCAUAAUUUACCGAGAAAUACCACUACGAGGUCAAGCACCCCUAAACUUGACCGUUAUGGCUGCAUGCAUCAAUGUAUGCCGAGGGCCGCGCGCGGGGGGUCUUGUUUGGAAAAUAAUAAUGAUCUUAUAGUGCAAUGAUUGGUCAUUGCCUAAGGUAUUUCCCUCUGUUCCAAGAUACAAGGUGUAUUUUUUAUUAAAAAAAACAAAAUUCCCUAUGUUUGACCAAAUUUAAAAUAAAACGUCUCUGUGUUUGGAAACCAUUUAUAUUUUUAUAAGCUCGAUCAAACAUAGAAGAUUUGACUUCAGAAAAAAAAAUAGUACAACUUAUAUUAUGAAACGGGAGUUAGUAGGUACACCAAUAAUUCGAUAUACGCACAAAAUGCUGGCUGUAGUUCCUUUCAUGGCUCCUUUGAUGUAAGAAAGAUGCUAGUAGAGACUAGAGACAAAGGGAAUCAAAUUAUGGGAGGAGGCGGCCCUAUCUAUAUUCCUCUUCCCCAAGCGGUUGCUCCCGUCCAUCCUUUGCCAAAAGUGGAGCAUCUCCCAUUUCCUUCUUCAUCUUCUCCUCCUCCUCCUUCCUUCGUAUUCACUCACCUAUAAAUAGCCCUCGCUGCCUGCCAUUGUUACUCAAGCCAGCAAGCAAGAAGCACAAAAGAAGCCAACACCAAUCAAGGCCUCCAUCCAAUCCCAAGCAACCUCGAAGAUGUCUUGCUGCGGAGGAAGCUGCGGCUGCGGCAGCGCCUGCAAGUGCGGCAACGGCUGCGGCGGCUGCAACAUGUACCCCGAGGUCGAGGCCGCCGGCGCCACCCUCCUCGUCGCCGCCACCGCCACCCACAAGGCGUACGUCCCUUCUCCUUCCUCAUAUAUCAUGCACUCGAUCGUAACAAUAUGACUGUAUGUUGAUCUUGGUAUGGGUGGGGUACGUGCAGGAGCUCCGGCGGCAUGGAGAUGGCGGCCGAGAACGGCGGCUGCGGCUGCACCCAGUGCAAGUGCGGCACCAGCUGCGGCUGCUCCUGCUGCAGCUGCUAGAUCAUCGGUCAUGCAUGCACCGCGUGCCUCAUAUCUAUGAUCUAUCUAUAUAUCCAUCUACCACCAUGUAACGCUACCUGAUCACGGUCUUUGUAUGUAUGUACGCACCUGCCUGCAUGAGCAGAGCAGGUGCCAUGCCAUGCAUGUAAACCCCUAAAUAAAAUCUCCCGUGGUUUAACCCCCUAUACAUGUGUUUGUGUUAUAGUCUUAUAGACCAACUUCUGGCCCAUGUUUACUAUGAACUUGCGACUUGCGAGGUGCCUGGGUUGUUAAUAGACCAGCUGGAUGCUCUCUUGAAGCAACGUAUGCACCGCUUGGAGUCGGUGUAUCUUUAUACACAUGUAUUUAUUUUACAGGUGUAUAUCAUCGGCCACACCUGGGAAAAAACGAUGGAUGGAGAAGUGUAAAUUUACAGGGGUAUUGCUCUGUGAAACGAGAAUCGAAUCAGGGCCUUAAGGGUAGGGAUGGCAAUGGGUAGGGUAUGGGCGCGUACGACUUUUUUCUGCCCAAACCCAUACCCAAAUCUUUUUUCUAUACCCAUCUAUUUCAAUAUCCAUGGACACAAAUUGGUACCCAUGCCCAUACCUAUCGGGUAUAUUAUACCCAAUGGAUAUCCAAUGGGUAUAGUAUCUAACAUUGGCAUGAUAAAGGUAAGCCAAGAAAAGGGCCUAAAACUAAAUUUAGGUACUCGGCCAUCACAAUCCGGUUUGCACUUACAUCAAAAUUUUACAAUGUGGAUUGACACACAAAUGUCUUAAUCUUCAUUACAAACUAACUUAAAAAAACAAGUUUCAAACUUGCAAUGCCAAUCACUGUAGGUAUUAUAGGGUUUAAUUUAUUUAUUAAUUUUUCUGGGUAUCCAUUAGGAUACCCAUGGGUAUAAUUUCAUACCCAUACCCUACCCAUGCAUUUUGCGGGUAUGGACACCCAUUACCCAUGGGUAUGAAGUAGUAAAAAGUCUUAUCCAUGCCCACUGUUUUCGGGUAGGGUACCCGCGGGUACCCAUACCCAUGGGCAAAACUGCCAUCCCUACUUAAGGGCGUUUGAUACAUGCGAAUAUUACUGGCCAAAGUUGAGUAUGAGAUACAUACAAUACAAACUUGACACUUUUGAAAGUCGUGCUAUCAAUCAUGAGACGCAUAGUUUAGCCAAAUUCUCGCUUAAUCUUUGUCAAAGGGUGUCACAUCUGGUUUGGCCAACCCCAUGAUCCGAUAUGUAUCCUACUCUCUGUGGUUUUCGAUGAAUAAAAUUUGGUUAAACCCUAAAAAAACUUAUUUGACGCGCCUUAGUUUUUUUCGAGAAUUUUUUUUAAAUCCGUUCAUCAAUCAUGGCAGUACAAAAAUCACAACCAGGUCCAUGAACCACCUAGCGACGACUACACUCACUGGAGCGAGCUAAACGUGCGCCGCCAUUAUCGCCCCUCCCUUACCGGAGUCGGACAAACCUUAUUGUAGUAGACAGUUGGAAAGUUAUCGUGCUAAGACCCUCAAGGACCACCGCACUGCAUAGCAACCAUCGUCGAUGAAAAGAGUUGUAGAUUGGAAAGAUCAAAGCUAUAACCACACAAGCGAAGACGAACAAAAAUGGAUCCAAUAGAUCCACCAAAGUCCAGCACGACAGAAUCCUGUGAGAUCCGGCGGGGACACACCUCCACAUGUCCUCCUCCGAUGUUAUUCGCACCACCGGGACGAGGAUCGGAUGUGGGAGACAUUAUUCCUACCCAGGGACAUCACUACCGUCACACAGCCCCAACCAAGACGUUAAACCUAACAAAAACGAGAACGGGUCCCUCCCGCUGCCGGGGGGCCAAGAUCCUCCGCACUCCGGGGAAUCGGCGCCGGCGGCAACGGGAUGAGAAAGGAAACUUUUCUUGAGAAGGAGGAAAGACAGACACAUACUGUUGUGUCUAAAUUACCGUGUCUUAGUUUGAUGUACUAUUUGCACCAGCUACUUCAUAACUAGAUUGCCAUGGUUGACGAUGGGUGUGUUCCCCUCUACUAAUAGUGCGGCAGUGCCCUAGCGGCGACAACUAUAUCAUGAACAAUUAAAACUUCACGAAAUUGGUGGCCUGGUGACUUAUGCCUGUGCCUAUAUCGCACGCUCUUUUGUGAUGACAAAGAAACAGAUUAUCAUUUUCGGAGGUUAAAUGGAAACAGAUGGAGUGAACCACAUGUAUGUUGUACCAGCAAAACAAUAUUUAAAUCGAUUCGUUGAUGAUUUCCUUGAUAUAAAAUUUGAGGUGUGCUCUACAACACCCCACCCUACCCCCGGAGCUCCUAUUUGGCACGCUAAGCGCUAGCGGUCGAGCCCGUGCGCGUCCCCUUCCCUUGCACACCCAUUUGGGUCGGCCCAUGCGCGGGGCGGGACACGCCGUUUUUAUUUUUUAUUUUUCUUUUAUUUAUUUUUUAAAUAAUUCAGGAUUUCAAAAAGUUUCAAAUUUAAAAAAAAUGUCAACUUUGAAAAAACAAAGAAAUCAUAAAAUGUUCAUGGAUUCAAAAAAUAUCUUGAAUUUGAAAGACAUGUCCGGACAUUCCCAAAAUGUUCAUAAAUUUGAACAAAAUGUUCACAAAUUAAAAAACAUGUUCAGAAAACUAAAUAAAUGAUUCUCAAUUACGAAAAUAUUGAAAAAUCAAAAAAUGUUCGUUGAUUCAAAAAAUGUUAAUUAAUUUCGAAAAAUAUUUGUCAAACAAAUAGUAUUCAUGAAUGUCAAAAAUUGUUCCCAGAUUUCAAAAACUAUUUCUUGUCAAAAAUUAUUCAGCAAUUCAAAUGUCCAUGAGUUUUAAAACAAUGUUUACAAUUUUAAAAAAUUCUUAGAUAUAAAAAAAUGUUUGUGAAUUCAAAAAAUAUUCAAGAUUAAAUUAAAUUCAUGAAUUUUUAAACAUGUUCAUGAAUUUGAAAAAUAAUCACAACAAAACAAUGUUCAUGCAAUUGGAAAAUGCUCACAAUUUAAAUAAUGUUAAAAAUCAUUAAAAAGUUCAUAAAUUUGAAAAUAAGUUCAAAAAAUGAAAGACUGAAAAAAGAAAAGAAAAACUGACAUCAAAAUAGGAAAAUAUAAAUAAGGUAAAAACGAAAACGAAAAAUAGAAAUGAAAUAAUGAAAAUGAAAAAACAAAAAUAACCCGAAAGGAAAAAACUGGUAUGGAAAGGUUCUAGAACGUUCCCAAAACCGAAAAGGAGGUACUUGGGCCGCCCCAAAAUGUGUACCUAGUGGGAGGGGCGUAUGCGCUAGGAUUAGCCCCCUAAAAAGCUUCACAACUUUUGAGCAGAUCAAUGGUCUAGAUUAAAACAUGUCCUUUACUUUAGAAGGGGUAAUAUAAAAAAUUCACAUUAUAAAAACACUUGCAAUAAAAAAGAUAACGGGCGCUCUAGAAACCCAUGGCGGCUAGUGCGACUUGUUUGGAGCUAUUCGUCUCCUUCCCAACCCUUAUCCACUACCCCGGUCGUCCAUGUAUCUGUCAAAAGUGUUAGAUGAAGGAAAUAUGCCCUAUAGGCAAUAAUAAAGUUAUUAUUUAUUUCCUUAUUUCAUGAUAAAUGUUUAUUAUUCAUGCUAGAUUUGUAUUAACCGGAAACAUAAUACAUGUGUGAAUACAUAGACAAACAUAGUGUCACUAGUAUGCCUCUACUUGACUAGCCCGUUAAUCAAAGAUGGUUAAGUUUCCUAACCAUAGACAUGAGUUGUCAUUUGAUUAACGAGAGCACAUCAUUAGGAGAAUGAUAUGAUUGACUUGACCCAUUCCGUUAGCUUAGCACUUGAUCGUUUAGUAUUCUGCUAUUGCUUUCUUCAUGACUUAUACAUGUUCCUAUGACUAUGAGAUUAUGCAACUCCCGUUUACCGGAGGAACACUUUGUGUGCUAUCAAACGUGACAACGUAACUGGGUGAUUAUAAAGGUGCUCUACAGGUGUCUCCGAAGGUACUUGUUGGGUUGGCGUAUUUCGAGAUUAGGAUUUGUCACUCCGAUUGCCGGAGAGGUAUCUCUGGCCCACUCGGUAAUACACAUCACUUAAGCCUUGCAAGCAUUGCAACUAAUGAGUUAGUUGCGGGAUGAUGUGUUAUGGAACGAGUAAAGAGACUUGCCGGUAACGAAAUUGAACUAGGUAUUGAGAUACGGACGAUCGAAUCUCGGGCAAGUAACAUACCGAUGGCAAAGGGAACAACGUAUGUUGUUAUGCGGUUUGACCGAUAAAGAUCUUCGUAGAAUAUGUAGGAGCCAAUAUGAGCAUCCAUGUUCCGCUAUUGGUUACUGACCGGAGACGUGUCUCGGUCAUGUCUACAUAGUUCUCGAACCCGUAGGGUCCGCACGCUUAAAGUUCGAUGACGGUUAUAUUAUGAGUUUAUGGUUUUUGAUGUACCGAAGGUAAUUCGGAGUCCUGGAUGUGAUCACGGACAAGACGAGGAGUCUCGAAAUGUUUGAUACGUAAAGAUCAAUAUAUUGGACGACUAUAUUUGGAUAUCGGAAUGGUUCCGGGUGAGAUCAGGAUAAUACCGGAGCACCGGGAGGUUAUUGGAACCCUCCCCCCCGGAGGUAUAUGGGCCUUAAUGGGCUUUAGUGGAAAGGAGGGAAAAGGAGCAAGGGAGGGGGCGCCCCCCCCCCCCCCAAGCCCAAUCCGAAUAGGGAAGGGGGCCACCCCCCUUUCCUUCCUCCCUCCUUCCUCUUCCUUCCCUCCCCCUCUCCAAAUAGGAAAAGGAGGAGUCCUACUCCCGAUGGGAGUAGGACUCCCCCCUUGGGCGCGCCUCCUCCCCUUGACCAGCCCUCUCCUCCCCUCCUUUAUAUACGGAGGAGAGGGGCACCCCAUAGACAGAACAAUUGAUCUCUUGGAUCUUUUAGCCGUGUGCGGUGCCCCUCUCCACCAUAGUCCACCUCGAUAAUAUCGUAGCGGUGCUUAGGCGAAGCCCUGCGACGGUAGAACAACAUCGUCACCACGCCCUCGUGCUGAUAGAACUCUCCCUCACAGCUCGGCUGGAUAGGAGUUCGAGGGAUGAAACCGAGUUGAACGUGUGCAGAACUCGGAGGUGCCGUGCGUUCGGUACUUGAUCGGUCGGAUCGUGAAGACAUACGACUACAUCAACCGCGUUGUGCUAAUGCUUCCGCUUUCGGUCUACAAGGGUACGCGGACACACUCUCCCCUCUCGUUGCUAUGCAUCACCAUGAUCUUGCAUGUGCGUAGGAAAUUUUUUGAAAUUACUACGUUACCCAACAGUGGUAUCAGAGCCAGGUUUUAUGCGUUGAUGUUAUAUGCACGAGUAGAAAACAAGUGAGUUGUGGGCGAUACAAGUCAUACUGCUUACCAGCAUGUCAUACUUUGGUUCGGCGGUAUUGUUGGAUGAAGCGGCCCGGACCGACAUUACGCGUACGCUUACGCGAGACUGGUUCUACCGACGUGCUUUGCACACAAGUGGCUGGCGGGUGUCAGUUUCUUCAACUUUAGUUGAACCGAGUGUGGCUACGCCCGGUCCUUGAGAAGGUUAAAACAGCACUAACCUGACGAACUAUCGUUGUGGUUUUGAUGCGUAGGUAAGAACGGUUCUUGCUCAGCCCGUAGCAGCCACGUAAAACUUGCAACAACAAAGUAGAGAACGUCUAACUUGUUUUUGCAGGGCAUGUUGUGAUGUGAUAUGGUCAAGACAUGAUGCUAUAUUUUAUUAUAUGAGAUGAUCAUGUUUUGUAAUCGAGUUAUCGGCAACUGGCAAGAGCCAUAUGGUUAUCGCUUUAUUGUAUGCAAUGCAAUCGCCCUGUAAUUGCUCUACUUUAUCACUAGGCGGUAGCGAUAGUCAUAGAAGCAAUAGUUGGCGAGACGACAAUGAUGCUACGAUGGAGAUCAAGGUGUCGCACUGGUGACGAUGGUGAUCAUGACGGUGCUUCGGAGAUUGAGAUCACAAGCACAAGAUGAUGAUGGCCAUAUCAUAUCACUUAUAUUGAUUGCAUGUGAUGUUUAUCUUUUAUGCAUCUUAUUUUGCUUUGAUUGACGGUAGCAUUAUAAGAUGAUCUCUCACUAAAUUUCAAGAUAAAAGUAUUCUCCCUGAGUAUGCACCGUUGCCAAAGUUCGUCGUGCCCAGACACCAUGUGAUGAUCGGGUAUGAUAAGCUCUAUGUCCAUCUACAACGGGUGCAAGCCAGUUUUGCACACGCAGAAUACUCAGGUUAAACUUGACGAGCCUAGCAUAUGCAGAUAUGGCCUUGGAACACCGAGACCGAAAAGUCGAGCUUGAAUCAUAUAGUACAUAUGAUCAACAUAAUGAUGUUCACCAUUGAAAACUACUCCAUUUCACGUGAUGAUCAGUUAUGGUUUAGUUGAUUUGGAUCACAUGAUCACUUAGAUGAUUAGAGAGAUGUCUAUCUAAGUGGGAGUUCUUAAAGUAAUAUGGUUAAUUGGACUUUAAUUUAUCUUGAACUUAGUCCUGGUAGUAUUAGCAUAUCUAUGUUGUAUAUCAAUAGCUCGCGUUUAGCUCCCCUGUUUUAUUUUUGAUAUGUUCCUAGAGAAAACUAAGUUGAAAGAUGUUAAUAGCAAUGAUGCGGAUUGGAUCCGUGAUCUGAGGAUUAUCCUCACUGUUGCACAGAAAUAUUAUGUCCUUGAUGCACCGCUAGGUCACAGACCUAUUGCAGGAGCAGAUGCUGACGUUAUGAACAUUUUGACAAAAGCUCGGUAUGAUGACUACUUGAUAGUUUAGUGCACCAUGCUUUACGACUUAGAACCGGGACUUCAAAAAUGUUUUGAACGCCACGGAGCAUAUAAGAUAUUCCAAGAAUUGAAAUUGGUAUUUCAUACUCAUGCCAGUGUCGAGAGGUAUGAGACCUCUGACAUUACUUUGCCUACAAGAUGGAGGAGAAUAGCUCAACCAGUAAGCAUGUGCUCAGAUUGUCUGAGUACUACAAUCACUUGAAUCAAGUGGGAGUUAAUCUUCUAGAUAAUAUAGUGAUUGACAGAGUUCUCUAGUCACUAUCACCAAGUUGUUAGAACUUCAUGAUGAACUAUAAUAUGCAAGGGAUAACGGAAACGAUUCCCAAGCUCUUCAUGAUGCUGAAAUCGACGAAGGUAAAAAUCAAGAAAAGCAUCAAGUGUUGAUGGUUAACAAGACCACUAUUUUCAAGAAAAGGGCAAAUGGAAUAAGGGGAAUUUCAAGAAGAACGGCAAGCAAGUUGCUGCUCAAGUGAAGAAGCCCAAAUCUAGACCUAAGCCUGAGACUAAGUGCUUUUACUGCAAAGGGACUAGUCACUGGAAGUGGAACUGCCCCAAGUAUUUGGCAGAUAAGAAGGAUGGCAAAGUGAACAAAGGUAUAUUGGAUAUACAUGUUAUUGAUGUGUACUUUACUAGUGUUUAUAGCAACCCCUCAGUAUUUGAUACUAGUUCAGUUGCUAAGAGUAGUAACUUGAAAUGGUAGUUGGACAAUGAACAGAGACUAGUUAAGGGUGGAGCAACGAUGUGUGUUGGAAGUAGUUCCAAGAAUGAUAUGAUCGUCAUCGCACACUCCCUAUACUUUCAGGAUUAGUGUUGAACCUAAAUAAGUGUUAUUUGGUGUUUUCGUUGAGCAUGAAUAUGAUUUGAUCAUGUUUAUUGCAAUACGGUUAUUCAUUUAAGUUAGAGAAUAAUUGUUAUUCUGUUUACAUGAAUAAAACCUUCUAUGGUUAUACACCCAAUGAAAAUGGUUUGUUGAAUCUUGAUUGUAGUGAUACACAUAUUCAUAAUAUUGAAGCCAAAAGAUGCAAAGUUAAUAAUGAUAGUGCAACUUAUUUGUGGCACUGUCGUUUAGGUCAUAUUGGUGUAAAGCGCAUGAAGAAAAUCCAUGCUGAUGGGCUUUUGGAAUCACUUGAAUAUAAAUCAGUUGAUGCUUGCGAACCAUGCCUCAAGGGUAAAGAGGACUAAGACUCCGUUCUCCAGAACAAUGGAGCGAGGAACUGACUUAUUGGAUAUAAUACAUACUGAUGUAUGAGGUCCGAUGAGUGUUGAGGCUCGCGGCGGGUAUCGUUAUUUUCUGACCUUCACAGAUAAUUUGAGCAGAUAUGGGUAUAUCUACUUGAAGAAACAUAAGUCCGAAACAUUUGAAAAGUUUAAAGAAUUUCAGAGUGAAGUGGAAAAUCAUCGUAACAAGAAAAUAAAGUUUCUACGAUCUGAUCGUAGAGGCAAAUAUUUGAGUUACGAGUUUGGUCUUCAAUUAAAACAAUAUGGAAUAGUUUCACAAACUCAUGCCACCUGGAACACCAUAGCGUAAUGGUGUGUCCGAAAGUCAUAACUGUGCUUUAUUUGAUAUAGUGCAAUCUAUGAUGUCUCAUACCGAUUUACCACUAUCAUUUUGGGGUUAUGCAUUAGAGAUAGCUGCAUUCACAUUAAAAAGGGCACCAUCUAAAUCUGUUGAGAUAACACCGUAUGAACUGUGGUUUAGCAAGAAACCUAAGGUGUCGUUUCUUAAAGUUUGGGGUUGCGAUGCUUAUGUGAAAAAGGUUUAUCUUGAUAAGCUCAAACCCAAAUCGAAGAAGUGCGUCUUCAUAGGAUACCCAAAAGUAACUGUUGGGUACACCUUCUAUCACAGAUCCGAAGGCAAGAUAUUUGCUGCUGAGAAUAGAUCCUUUCUAGAGAAGGAGUUUCUCUCGAAAGAAGUGAGUGGGAGGAAAGUAGAACUUGAUGAGGUAACUGUACCUGCUCCCUUAUUGGAAAGUAGUUCAUCACAGAAAUCUGUUUCUGUGACUCCUACACCAAUUAGUGAGGAAACUAAUGAUGAUGAUCAUGUAACUUCAGAUCAAGUUAUUACCAAACCUCUUAGGUCAACCAGAGUGAGAUCCGCACCAGAGUGGUACGGUAAUCCUGUUCUGGAGGUCACGUUAAUUGACCAUGACGAACCUACGAACUAUGAGGAAGCGAUGAUGAGCCCAGAUUCCGCGAAAUGGCUUGAGGCAUGAAAUCUAAUAUGGGAUCCAUGUAUGAGAACAAAGUGUGGACUUUGGUUAACUUGCCCGAUGAUCGGCAAGCCAUAGAAAAUAAAUGGAUCUUCAAGAGGAAGACGGACAGUGAUAGUAGUGUUGCUAUCUACAAAGCUCGAAUUGUCGCAAAAUGUUUUCGACAAGUUCAAGGUGUUGACUACGAUGAGAUUUUCUCACUCGUAUCGAUGCUUAAGUCCGUCCGAAUCAUGUUAGCAAUUGCCGCAUUUUAUGAUUAUGAAAUUUGGCAAAUGGAUGUAAAGACUGCAUUCCUGAAUGGAUUUCUGGAAGAAGAGUUGUAUAUGAUGCAACCUGAAGGUUUUGUCGAUCCUAAAGGUGCUAACAAAGUGAGCAACCUCCAGCGAUCCAUCAAUGGACUGGUGCAAGCUUCUCGAAGUUGGAAUAAACGUUUUGAUAGUGUGAUCAAAGCAUAUGGUUUUAUACAGACUUGCGGUGAAGCCUGUAUUUACAAGAAAGUGAGUGGGAGCACUACAACAUUUCUAAUAAGAAGUGUGAAUGACAUAUUGUUGAUCGGAAAUAAUGUAGAAUUUUCUGGAAAGCAUAAAGAAGUAUUUGAAAUGAGUUUCUCAAAUAAAGACCUCGAUGAAGCUACUUACAUAUUGAGCAUCAAGAUCUAUAGAGAUAGAUCAAGACGCUUGAUAAGUUUUUUCAAUGAGUGCAUACCUUGACAAGAUUUUGAAGUAGUUCAAAAUGGAACAGUCAAAGAAAGAGAUCUUACCUGUGUUACAAGGUGUGAAAUUGAGUAAGACUCAAAGCCCGACCACGGCAGAAGAUAGAAAGAGAAUGAAAGUCAUUCCCUAUGCCUCAACCAUAGUUUCUAUAAAGUAUGCCAUGCUGUGUACCAGAUCUAUUGUAUACCCUACACUGAGUUUAGCAAUGGAAUACAAUAGUGAUCUAGGAGUAGAUCACUGGAUAGCGGUCAAAAUUAUCCUUAGUGGAAUAAGGAAAUAUUUCUCGACUAUGGAGGUGAUAAAAGAGUUCGUCGUAAAGAGUUACGUCGAUGCAAGCUUUUUACAUCGAUCUAGAUGACUCUAAGUCUCGAUCUGGAUACAUAUUAAAAGUGGGAGCAAUUAGCUAGAGUAGCUCCAUGCAAAGCAUUGUUGACACAGAAAUUUUCAAAAUACAUAUGGAUCUGAAUGUGGCAGACCCGUAGACUAAACUUCUCUCACAAGUAAAACAUGAUCACACCUUAGUACUCUUUGGGUGUUAAUCGCAUAGCGAUGUGAACUAGAUUAUUGACUCUAGUAAACCCUUUGGGUGUUGAUCACAUGACGAUGUGAACUAUGGGUGUUAAUCACAUGGUGAUGUGAACUAUUGGUGUUAAAUCACAUGGCGAUGUGAACUAGAUUAUUGACUCUAGUGCAAGUGGGAGACUGAAGGAAAUAUGCCCUAGAGCCAAUAAUAAAGUUAUUAUUUAUUUCCUUAUUUCAUGAUAAAUGUUUAUUAUUCAUGCUAGAUUUGUAUUAACCGGAAACAUAAUACAUGUGUGAAUACAUAGACAAACAUAGUGUCACUAGUAUGCCUCUACUUGACUAGCUCGCUAAUCAAAGAUGGUUAAGUUUCCUAACCAUAGACAUGAGUUGUCAUUUGAUUAACGGGAUCACAUCAUUAGGAGAAUGAUAUGAUUGACUUGACCCAUUCCGUUAGCUUAGCACUUGAUCGUUUAGUAUUCUGCUAUUGCUUUCUUCAUGACUUAUACAUGUUCCUAUGACUAUGAGAUUAUGCAACUCCCGUUUACCAGAGGAACACUUUGUGUGCUACCAAACGUCACAACGUAACAGGGUGAUUAUAAAGGUGCUCUACAGGUGUCUCCGAAGUUACUUGUUGGGUUGGCGUAUUUCGAGAUUAGGAUUUGUCACUCCGAUUGUCGGAGAGGUAUCUCUGGCCCCUCGGUAAUACACAUCACUUAAGCCUUGCAAGCAUUGCAACUAAUGAGUUAGUUGCGGGAUAAUGUGUUAUGGAACGAGUAAAGAGACUUGCCAGUAACGAGAUUGAACUAGGUAUUGAGAUACCGACGAUCGAAUCUCGGGCAAGUAACAUACCGAUGGCAAAGGGAACAACGUAUGUUGUUAUGCGGUUUGACCGAUAAAGAUCUUCGUAGAAUAUGUAGGAGCUAAUAUGAGCAUCCAUGUUCCGCUAUUGGUUAUUGAACGGAGACGUGUCUCAGUCAUGUCUACAUAGUUCUCGAACCCGUAGGGUCCGCACGCUUAAAGUUCGAUGACGGCUAUAUUUUGAGUUUAUGGUUUUUGAUGAACCGAAGGUAAUUCAGAGUCCUGGAUGUGAUCACGGACAAGACGAGGAGUCUCGAAAUGUUCGAGACGUAAAGAUCGAUAUAUUGGACGACUAUAUUUGGAUACCAGAAUGGUUCCGGGUGAGAUCGGGAUAAUACCGGAGCACCGGGAGGUUAUCGGACCCCCCCGGAGGUAUAUGGGCCUUAAUGGGCUUUAGUGGAAAGGAGGUAAAAGGAGAAAGGGAGGGGGCGCCCCCCCCCCCCCAAGCCCAACCCGAACUGGGAAGCCCCCCCCCUUUCCUUCCUCCCUCCUUCCUCUUCCUUCCCUCUCCCUCUCCAAAUAGGAAAAGGAGGAGUCCUACUCCCGGUGGGAGUAGGACUCCCCCCUUGGGCGCACCUCCUCCCCUUGGCCGGCCCUCUCCUCCCCUCCUUUAUAUACGGAGGAGAGGGGCACCCCAUAGACACAACAAUUUAUCUCUUGGAUCUUUUUGCUGUGUGCGGUGCCCCUCUCCACCAUAGUCCACCUCGAUAAUAUUGUAGCGGUACUUAGGCGAAGCCCUGUGACGGUAGAACAUCAACAUCGUCACCACGCCGUUGUGCUGAAGGAACUCUCCCUCAAAGCUCGGCUGGAUCGGAGUUUGAGGGACGUCAUCGAGUUGAACGUGUGCAGAACUCAGAGGUGCCGUGCGUUCGGUACUUGAUCGGUCGGAUCGUGAAGACAUACGACUACAUCAACCGCAUUGUGCUAAUGCUUUCGCUUGCGGUCUACAAGGGUACACGGACACACUCUCCCCUCUCGUUGUUAUGCAUCACCAUGAUCUUGCGUGUGCGUAGGAUUUCUUUUUAAAUUACUAUGUUACCCAACAUUAGACUCCUCCACUUUAUCUUACUCCUCACAUUCCCAUCAUCCGACAUAGUAUGACGACAUCUCAGCCCCUUGUAUUCACAUCACACGGUGUUCAAAUCGCACGAGCCACGAGGCCUUGUUUUUUAAACAGAAGUGGUGUACCCAAGCACCCCUAAUGAAAUUGGCGUUCCCUUGAUCCAAAGAAAAAAAGAGUAAAAAGAAACCAAACACUCCCCCCCCCACAUACACCUCCAGCGUUCCUAUGCACCGAAUUGUACACAACCAAUAGUUUCUACAUUGCUACACAUGAAUGAUGCUUACAGUUGAAAUAAAAGGCAACUCAUUGUCGCUUACAACUAAAUAGCAAAAGGAUACUAGGAGUAGAGUUUGACAUAGGCUAGAGUAAGUGCAUUAUAUAUCCUUAUUUCUGUUUCGCAAUUUUUUUUCCUUAUUUCUAGUGUGUGAUUGCCACCCAAGAUUGCAAUAGAACACCAGGUCAACUGACAAUCCAAUCCCUGGUGUUCUAUUAUAUGUCGAGUUAAAUACUAAAAAGUGCUACUAGGAGUAGAGUAUGAGAUGAACGAGAGUAAGUGCAUUAUGUAUAUCCUCAAUUAUAGUGUGCGGUCACCACCCAAGAUUGCAACAGAACACCAAUUUGGCUGACGAAACCAAUCUAGUCCAAUCGCUUAUUGAACUAAAAGUCGGUAUAUGUACUUAGGAGUUGCCUAACUAAAGCAUGCGGUUCAACUUGAUAGAUCUAGUAAGAUUCAACUCGAUAAUCGUUUAAUUCCUAAUGGUUUCUAUAAAAAAUAGUUACAAUAACUAACUCAAACGAAAUAUAAGCGAACAAUCAAACAUCGACCGGCUCACAUGGCUUCCAAAUAAAACUAAUUAACAGAUCGAGUAAUACAUUGUUUAUUCCUUGCUCUUAAUAUGAGGUUAUACAUAACAUAUUUUGGUCCAUCCUGAAGUAAGUAUUACGUAACAAGUACUAGCUAGUAUUUCAGUCUCUACUAGCAAAUGUUGCAAUAGCAAACAGCCUUGAUGGCGUUCUUCUUAUCACAGUGGUAGUCCUUGAGGCUGCCCUUCCUAUCACGUGCAAACACGUCACACGUGGCCUUGCAUAGAGGCUUGGUGCAGAAAAACUCCCCGCCGUCGUCAACGACCGCGAAAUUGUGCUGCACAACACCAAGAAAACACAAACCAUUAUAUUAGAAUAUUAGCGACAAACCCCCAUUAGAUUAGAUUAUACGUAUUUGACAAACACAAUUAAACACACCUGCAGAAAUAGGAGUACCCACAAGUGUUAGCACCACGAGGAAGCAAACAAUAGCAGCCCGUGUGUCCAUCCCAAGAGUUCUCUCCUUUUUUGAACUAGAAGGAAAAAUAUGUGUUCUCUUCGUCUAUUUUAAUUUGGCUAUGGGACUAAUGUUUAUGUCUUGAAGUGCUUGGAGUGUUGUCUUAUAUAGACUUAUUGAAAGGGACAAAAAUAAAAGCAUUUAAAUGAUUGUUAAACUUAGCAAAAGAGAUAGAGGUGAGUCACACCCCAAAAAUGGAAGCACUUAAUGCUGGGUGAGAAAUUAAAUGACGAAGGCAAAGAAUAUAUGAGUGAUGUUUAUCCAAUAAUCAAGGCUUUAAUUUUCGACUACAAAAUAAGCAUGACCAUUCAAAAAAUGGAGUCAUCUUUUUGUCGCUGGUGACAUUGAUCAAACAUGGUUUUUUAUAAAAAAAAAUGUAUAGCCACUUUAAUUGCAAACACCAUUGUGCAUUGAAAUUCAGUUGACUUCAACAAAACAAUCAAUAUGAAUUGCAUGCUUGAUAUGUAACCAACUAAAACUAAAAUUGUAUGUUGUCUCGAGUUGACUAAAUCACCAUUUUUGGCUAGACAAUGUUUAAAACUGUGUCAACUGUGUCAAUUUGCACGGCGCCUGGGACAAUGCAAUGUCAAAUCUUGCACUAUUUUAAACCACCACAAGAUAAGCAAGCUGAGUUGGCCCGGGCCUCUUGCCAGACGCUGGCAUCCACCUCGAAAUCUAUAUCAAUAUAUUUUUUGUAUCACAUGAAUCAUAUAGUAUUGGUCUAAAAUAUAUUUUCUCUUGUUGCAAAAUAUGAAAGAAAAAUCGGCACAACAAUAUUAUAUAGACCCAUCGCAACAAUAGCAUGCUUCACAGUCGGUGGGUCCCAUGUAAAGACAUUUGGAAAUACCUCAAAAAUGCAUAUGUGUACUAUUUAUUAUUGUCCAAGAAUUUCACAUGCUCACUCACAACAAACUGUUGAAGAAUUCCGUGCAACUUAGAAACUAACGUAUGCAACAACGCGAGCACAACAUUUGUGUUAGGACUAACAAAAUUACAUUACAUUGUAGCAUGUCACACAUGUGUAUGUAGUAUGACGCAAAUGAGUUCACAGCAUACCAAAACAACGAAUGGUAACUACAAAAAAUUCCCAUAAAUCUAACAUUUUACAACCAAAAAAUUUGGUGGGCACUGACCUCACCUCAUCAAACUUGCUCUAAUAUUCUAGUUAGUGUAGAGUUUUGGAUUAAGCUAAAGUUGCUCUAGUAUUAUGCCACAACAAAAAGGAAAGAAAUGGGGGAAAACAAAGAAGAGCGGAGCAGGGUGGCUUACUCGGAUCUAAGUCGGCCAAUAUCAAUCGCAUUGCCCUCCUAAAUCCUGAUUACUCAAGCCAGCCCAAAAUUGAGGGGCUACUAAAAUAGAAGUUGAGCCUAUGGUGCAAGAACAGAAAAGCCAUUGGAUUGGAUAUGGAUAGCACAUGAUCUGGUGGAGCGAUCUCAGGCCACUUUUUGUAUAUUUUAUGAAAAAACCCUAUUAACAGUUAGGUACAAAACAAAACAUUCGCAGUGACCACCUUAAGUAUCUCAUCUCCCAAUCCAAUAGUGGAGUUAACGACCAUUUACAGAUUUCAGGUUUUUUCCAGCGACCAUUUAUAGAAUUUGCACAACCUCAUAUCCUAUCAGUUUUAUAAAAUAUAUUUUCACAUACCGAGCACAAAUAUAUGGUUGUAAGAAUGAAGAACUCAUACUCAUGCUUGUUUUAAUUCUAGUAUUUACACCCCUAAGGUUGUUAAGGUCCGGUUACAAAAACUCGAAUUUAAUUCUCUUAUAAGAACUUGUUAGAGUCCUGUCAUAGUGCACAUCCUCUCGUGGAUUCGAUAACUCAAGGUUGCUCCUUCGGGAAAAGGGAGGGAAACCUUUGUUGUCCAAACCGGAUCUCAAAGAGCACCACCCAUCUCUCACCCUACUCGAUGAUACAACAUCGACGACCAGGUACGUGUGUAACCAACCGUCUGCUCCCUCGCUCUGUCACUGUGGUGCUAUUCAUUACAUCAAGUCGGGACCCAUUUCCUUCCUUUUGAGGUUAACAAUUAAGGUUUCUAGUCUAUAUGAGGGCCUUCGGAUUCAACUUAUAAGAAUGUUAGUUCAAAUUUAAUGAUGAUUAUUUCAAGUGGAUGGUUAUGUGAACUAGGUUGGUAGAGUGGUGGCCGACCACUGUUGCGGCGGACUUCAGGGAUGUUUGAUCUAUCCACCUGGCUUGAUCAAGCAGCGUCGACAUUUGUGCAUCAUUAUUUUGUUGAAUAUGUUCGUUCGAUUUGCUUGUUGCAGGGGUGAUAGCCUCUGGUCCGACGUUUGGUUACACGAGACAAUAAGCUCCCCUUGCAAAAGUGUAUGAUGUGGGAAUUACGUGUUGUACUCCUCAGGUGCAAACGCACGUAUAUAUGAUGUACAGGAGUAGGCCACGACCUCAAUUAUACAAGGCAACUAGGAGGUGGGCCCAAUACACAAAUAUGCACAACAAAGACUGGACCGGAACUCCUCAAAAUGAUGCCGUAGGCAAGUCCUUGGUCAUGGUAUAUGCAAAUUGUUGGGAAGUAGGGACGUGUAAAACACGAAUAUGGCCAAGGGCCACCUAUUCCCGAACAAAAUGAAUAUCCAACUCAAUAUGCUUGGUCCGUCGAUGAUGCACCGGGUUAGCGGAGAGGUAGACUGCCGAGACGUUGUCGCAAUAGACCACCGUGGCACGGUCAACAGGGAAAGAGAGCUCCUGAAGCAGCUGGCGAAGCCACGAACACUCGGCGACGGUGUUGGCCACCGCAGGAUACUCAGCCUCAGCGUUGGAACGAGAGACCGUAGGCUGCCGCGUGGAUGACCACGAGAUAAGUGAGGGUCCAAGGUAGACACAAUAGCCCGAGGUGGAGCGACGAGUUUUAGGGCAGCCCGCCCAGUCUGCAUUGAAGUAGGCGGCGAGGGCAGUGUCGGCGGAGGCAUGAAGCGUGACACCAAGAUCCAUAGUGCCACAGACAUAGCGGAGAAUCCGUUUGACAACGGCCCAGUGCAUCUCGAGGAGCAUGCAUAUGAAGACACACCUGCUGCACGACAUACUGGAUCUCUGGUUGAGUUAAAGUGAGGUACUGAAGAGCACCAACAAUAGACCGAUAAAAAGCAGCAUCCGAAGCAGGAGAACCAUCCGUGGCAGAAAGCUUGGCCUUUGUAUAAACAGGCGUAGCAGCGGGCUUGUAGUUAAGCAUGUUGGCCCGCUCCAGGAGCUCAUGAGCAUACUUCCGCUGAUGAAAGAAGAAGCCAUCCGGACGGCACACCACCUCGACACCGAGGAAGUUGUGCAAAGGACCCAAGUCCUUGAUGGCAAACUCAGCGCGAAGACGAGCCAUGAGCUGACCGAGGAGACCAACCAUACAUGCCGUCAGGAUGACGUCGUCGACAUAGAGCAGAAAGUAGGCCGUGUUAGAGCCCUGAUGAUAGACGAAGAGCGAGGCGUCCGAGCGGGUGGAGCGGAACCCAAGCUGGUGGAGAAACGCUGCGAUGCGCUGGUACCAAGCACGCAGAGCCUUCUUAAGUUCAUACAAGGACCGCGAAAGCAGGCACACGUGGUCGGGAAGCGCCGGGUCAACAAACCCGGUGUGCUGCUGGCAGAAGACCUGCUACUCCAGGUGACCAUGGAGCAAGGCGUUGGAGACGUCCAUCUGGUGCACCGGCCAAGCACGGGAGACUGCAAGGUGGAGAACCGUGUGUAUCGUGUCGGGCUUGACGACCAGAGCGAAGGUGUCGAUGAAGUCGAUGCCAGCACGCUGUCGGAAGCCACGAACGACCCAACGCGGUUUGUAGCGAUCAAAGGUACCAUCGGGACGGAGGUUGUGUUUGAAGACCCACUUCCCGGUAAUCACGUUGGCGUGCUGAGGACAGGAAACAAACAUAGAAGAUUUGACUUUAGAAAAAAAAUAGUACAACUUAUCUAUACCUAAUAUUAAAGGACGGAGAUUUUUAUAGUUCUCCAUACAUCUAACUUUAUUAAUAGUCUUCAUCGGCCCACCGGAGCAAGACAAUAAGUAGGCCUGGAAACACUCGAUUCAAUGGGCCUGAAAAAUAAACGGGCAUGCAUCCUCUCUCGCUCAUCUCUCUCCUCUCGAACCCCUCAUAAAAAAUUUCUCUCCUCUCGAUCCCUUCGCUCUCUACUACGAGCGCUCCUGGGGCAGACAUGUUCUCCCUUCUCUCUACCGCUGCGGAUGGCCCAACUUGACUCCGAGACGAACUCUGCUCGAGCACGCACCCAUAGGGUGUCCCGACAGGUUCUUUGCGGUUCCGCAGGCUGGUCUAGGAACAUAUAGAAACAAAUUGACGCCAUCAAACGAAGCCCCAGCUCAAUUGCCUGGUUGCGGAGUGCGGCGGCAUGUCGAGCCGAACGCCGGCAAGAUCAUACAGGAUGAGGCAGUAGAUGCCAACGAUAGUGUGCGUCACCCAACUCGACGCAGGCGAGGAAGAUGAGCAGGACGGCGUUGGAGCUCAGCAGGGCGCCGACGAGAACGUACGGGAAGAGGCGGUAGACGCCGAUGGCGGUGUAGGUAACCCACCCAGCUCGACGAAGGUGAGGAAGAUGAGUAGGACGGGGGGUAGCCGGGGAUUUGAAGAGGACUCGGAAGGGCUACACGAGCAUGACCAGGUCGUCACUGAAUCGGAUCCGUCACCUCAUGCGGCUGAGCUGUUAGAGGACGAUGCAGAGGCUCUGGUCAAAGGCGACCAUGAUGGAUGUGUCACCGCCGGCCACGCGAUAGAGGAAGAAGGUGAGGCUCAAGAGCCGGCCAGCCGAGUGGACGUGCCGGUGCAGUUGUGACCGCUCGGGAGGUUGAAGGCAAGCGAGGGAGCUCAUGCGGCGACGUCGGCAAGGCUCGGUGGCGAGAUAGCGCAGAAGAGCGGUGCAGCGGAGCGACAACCACGAUGCUAGGGCGUUGCGGAGAGAAAGGAUGAAGAGAGAUAGGGCAAGGGAGUCCUACUGCUGGUGGAGGCACGCAGGAGGAGCUCGAGCAUCAGUUGGCGGGCGAAGCAAGGAGUCGCAGGGCUUUCCAGCGACUAUGAUGGUGCGGGUUGAUCUGGGGAGGCUGGGAGAGCUGCCUCCUAGGGGCGCUGGUUCGGGUUGACGUGUGCGUCAUGUGCACUGCUACAAAAUUGCUGGAUAUGUGUAUCUAUAUGUGUGCGGCUGCGAUUUGAAAGUCGUAGCAAUGCACAGGCUUAUAAUUAAAUAAUUAUAUAUCUUUACUUGUUCAGUAGCAACACAUGCUAGCAAGCAGCAGAGACAGUAUACUAUGUUGGCGAUCAUUUGGCGAGCGAGCAGUUGAAUUGCUGCUGGCAUGCAUUGUGCAGGGGCAUGUUCGCUUGGGUCUUGGGACGAAAUCGACUGAGUCAAUAAAUAAUUUUUUAAAAGGAUAUUAGACCCUCGGCCUCUGCAUCAUUCAUUAUGAUGCACACAAAUAUUUUUAGCAAAGUUAGCCAUGGGUCGAACCAUUAGAUAUCAAAUAGACAUCUACAACUAAGUCGACUUCUGCUGCAACAUCUCUUCAAGAAGGGAUAAACUUUCUCGCCAUCGACCGAAACAAUCCGUAAGAAGAAGAAAAUGAUCACACAUGUGAAACAUAAUUGUCAAUACAAAUACAUGACACAUGGUGGUACGAACACACAUCACGAUGGAAGAAUACCAGCAACUUAAAAGCAAGCCUACAUCAAAUCUAUAUUUCAUUAGUAUUUAGUCCAUAUUUUUAUUUCUAUCAACCUAAACUCCAAUUACGUUAAAAUUUAGGUUUGAACUGCAGAUAUGAGAUUUCGAAUUUAAAGAUUGAACGUAUAUUUAAAGUUCUCAUAGUAUGUGUCUAUUUUUUGGGGUGUCUUUUUACUCGAUAGGAAUCCAAUUCAAUGCUCAAAAUCAAAUAACAAGAUUAUUGCUACAUAUUUUGAUAAAGCUAAAUUUUACUUGAAUUUUGGAUGUAGUUUAGACAAAUAAUUCUCACUAAAUCUUACUAUGGGCCAAUUUUUCUCUACCGUUGCAACACACCGGAUCGAGAGUUUCCAAGAAAACAUUGUCAGUCAGAUGCAUUUACUCCAGAUCAUAACUCAUGUCCUAAGCUUCACGUCGUGAUCCUCAAAUCAUGCAUCUUUUUAUUUUCUCAUCAUCAACCGUUGUGACAUGACACAGUUCCUCGACCUGGCCAACCAUGGUUCAUAGGAACUGGUAUAUUUCUCCCGCUGCAACGCACGGGCAUUCGUGCUAGUAUUUUGAAACGGGAGUUAGUAGGUACACCAAUAAUUCGAUAUACCCACAAAAUGCUGGCUCUAGUUCCUUUCAUGGCUCCUUUGAUGUAAGAAAGAUGCUAGUAGUGACUAGAGACAAAGGGAAUCAAAUUAUGGGAGGAGGCGGCCCUAUCUAUAUUCCUCUUCUCCAAGCGGUAGCUCCCGUCCAUCCUUUGCCAAAAGUGGAGCAUCUCUCAUUUCCUUCUUCAUCUUCUCCUCCUCCUCCUUUCUUGAUGCUCACUCGCCUAUAAAUAGCUCUCGCUGCCUGCCAUUGUUACUCAAGCUAGCAAGCAAGAAGCACAAAAGAAGCCAACACCAAUCAAGGCCUCCAUCCAAUCCCAAGCAACCUCGAAGAUGUCUUGCUGCGGAGGAAGCUGCGGCAGCGC